GACGAACGCUGGCGGCGUGCUUAACACAUGCAAGUCGAACGGAAAGGUCCUGCUUUUGUGGGGUGCUCGAGUGGCGAACGGGUGAGUAACACGUGAGUAACCUGCCCUUGACUUUGGGAUAACUUCAGGAAACUGGGGCUAAUACCGGAUAGGAGCUCCUGCUGCAUGGUGGUGGUUGGAAAGUUUCGGCGGUUGGGGAUGGACUCGCGGCUUAUCAGCUUGUUGGUGGGGUAGUGGCUUACCAAGGCUUUGACGGGUAGCCGGCCUGAGAGGGUGGCCGGCGACAAUGGGACUGAGGGAGGGACCAGACUCGUACGGGAGGCAGCAGUGGGGAGCAUUGCAGAGUGGGCGGAAGCCUGAUGCAGAAGCGCCGCGUGCGGAAUGACGGGCUUCGGGUUGUAAACCGCUUUCGCCUGUAACGAAGCGUGAGUGACGGUAAUGGGUAAAGAAGCAACGGCUAACUACGUG
rnacentral:rRNA from 1 species